AAUAUUGCGCAAUGGGGGAAACCCUGACGCAGCGACGCCGCGUGAACGAUGAAGGCCUUCGGGUCGUAAAGUUUUUUCCUCAGGGAAGAAUAAAUUGACGGUACCUGAGGAGGAAGCCCCGGCCAACUACGUUCCGGCAGCCGCGGUAAUACGGAUGGGGCAAGCGUUGUCCGGAAUUAUUGGGCGUAAAGGGUGGGUAGGCGGCCUUUUAAGUCAGAUGUGAAAGACCGCAGCUUAACUGUGGGGUUGCAUUUGAAACUGAAGGGCUUGAGUGUCGGAGAGGGUAGUGGAAUUCCCGGAGUAGCGGUGAAAUGCGUAGAUUUCGGGAGGAACACCAGUGGCGAAGGCGACUACCUGGACGACAACUGACGCUGAGGCACGAAAGCUAGGGGAGCAAAC
rnacentral:rRNA from 1 species